CAUGCAAGUCGAACGAGAAUCUGUGGAAAGAGGAUUCGUCCAAUUGAAGCAGAGGACAGUGGCGGACGGGUGAGUAACGCGUGAGGAACCUGCCUUUCAGAGGGGGACAACAGUUGGAAACGACUGCUAAUACCGCAUAACAUAUAGAUGUCGCAUGGCAUUUAUAUCAAAGAUUUAUCGCUGAAAGAUGGCCUCGCGUCUGAUUAGCUAGUUGGUGAGGUAACGGCCCACCAAGGCGACGAUCAGUAGCCGGACUGAGAGGUUGAACGGCCACAUUGGGACUGAGAUACGGCCCAGACUCCUACGGGAGGCAGCAGUGGGGAAUAUUGGGCAAUGGGCGCAAGCCUGACCCAGCAACGCCGCGUGAAGGAAGAAGGCUUUCGGGUUGUAAACUUCUUUUGUCAGGGACGAGUAGAAGACGGUACCUGACGAAUAAGCCACGGCUAACUACGUGCCAGCAGCCGCGGUAAUACGUAGGUGGCAAGCGUUGUCCGGAUUUACUGGGUGUAAAGGGCGUGUAGCCGGGAGGGCAAGUCAGAUGUGAAAUCCACGGGCUCAACUCGUGAACUGCAUUUGAAACUACUCUUCUUGAGUAUCGGAGAGGCAAUCGGAAUUCCUAGUGUAGCGGUGAAAUGCGUAGAUAUUAGGAGGAACACCAGUGGCGAAGGCGGAUUGCUGGACGACAACUGACGGCGAGGCGCGAAAGCGUGGGGAGCAAACAGGAUUAGAUACCCUGGUAGUCCACGCUGUAAACGAUGAAUACUAGGUGUGCGGGGACUGACCCCCUGCGUGCCGCAGCUAACGCAAUAAGUAUUCCACCUGGGGAGUACGAUCGCAAGGUUGAAACUCAAAGGAAUUGACGGGGGCCCGCACAAGCGGUGG
rnacentral:rRNA from 1 species